GGAUAUAUAGCUCAGUUGGUAGAGCAGUAGACUGUUAAUCUAUUUGUCGAGAGUUGAAGUCUCUCUAUCUCCGCCA
rnacentral:tRNA from 1 species